CUUCAACUGUGACUGAACGAUGUUUUGCCCCUUUUGUGGAAAACACAUGAACCACAAAAUGGAACUCUGUCCAUUCCAGCAGAAUAACCGUGUCCAUCAUAUAAACAGUUCCUGGAGUACAGAAGCUCAAAGACAGAAGAACGACAGUCCUGUAACUGUGGGCUGAAAGGAAGAUAUCGGCCAAAACAAGGAAGGAAACGUGUCCAGAUAAACAUAAAAUUGAUGGUGCCACAUGGAACUGAUUUAAAAGCUCUAAGAGGGAAAAUACUCCCGUUAUUUACAGACCCGGAGACUGCUCAGAGGUGAUCCAUGUGCCUGGGUCAGAAAGGCCAUUCAAACUGCCAGAAUAUAAAAAUGAAACAGGAAAAGCAUAUUCCAGGAUUACUUUUUCAUUUGCAUAGAAAGACACUUUA